rfam:Salmo salar isolate Sally breed double haploid chromosome ssa11, whole genome shotgun sequence.
AAGGUGGCCUAUGCCACAGCUAUGGACUGGUUCAUGGCGGUAUGCUAUGCCUUU